rfam:Chryseobacterium sp. Leaf394 contig_2, whole genome shotgun sequence.
AUGUUAUCAAGAAAGGUUGAGGGACAGACCCUGUGAAACCUUAGCAACCCUUUGCACAAGCGAAGAAGGUGCUACGUUCUACCAAAAGUUUUUAUUUUUUGGACAGAUAACUU